rnacentral:rRNA from 1 species
GACGAACGCUGGCGGCGUGCCUAAUACAUGCAAGUCGAGCGAAUGGAUUAAGAGCUUGCUCUUAUGAAGUUAGCGGCGGACGGGUGAGUAACACGUGGGUAACCUGCCCAUAAGACUGGGAUAACUUCGGGAAACCGGGGCUAAUACCGGAUAACAUUUUGAACCGCAUGGUUCGAAAUUGAAAGGCGGCUUCGGCUGUCACUUAUGGAUGGACCCGCGUCGCAUUAGCUAGUUGGUGAGGUAACGGCUCACCAAGGCAACGAUGCGUAGCCGACCUGAGAGGGUGAUCGGCCACACUGGGACUGAGACACGGCCCAGACUCCUACGGGAGGCAGCAGUAGGGAAUCUUCCGCAAUGGACGAAAGUCUGACGGAGCAACGCCGCGUGAGCGAUGAAGGCUUUCGGGUCGUAAAACUCUGUUGUUAGGGAAGAACAAGAGCUAGUUGAAUAAGCUGGCACCUUGACGGUACCUAACCAGAAAGCCACGGCUAACUACGUGCCAGCAGCCGCCGUAA